UGCCUAAAUUGCUCAGAUGGCAGAGCGUUAGACUGAAGAUCUAAAGGUCCCUGGUUCGAUCAUGGGUUACGUCAGGUUAGUCAA
rnacentral:tRNA from 1 species